GGGAAUCUCGGGACGAGAUUCUAUUAAGGGGGAGAGGCUGUAAUACCUACCAUUUUUAGUCAUUAAAGUAACUCCAAAGAAAUGGAAGCAAUUCAUGAAGAAAAGAAGAAGAAAUUGGCCAAAAAUCAAAUUCGGGUCAAAUUUGACCGAAAUUUGAAUUUUGAAUUCGAAAUUCAGAAAAAUUCAGCAAAAAUAUGGAAUGAAGGUGUAAGGGUGAUUAGAACUUAAAGAUCAAAAUUUGGGACAAGGAUUGGUCCUGAAUACCUCAAGAAAAUCAAAGAAAGAAAAUGAAAAACAAGUUUACUGUUCCCCGUCCGACAAUAGCAGUUUCAGAAAAACAGCACAGAGUUCAUUUUUGGAAAUUGAAUUCUGUUGAAUUUUUCAAAUAAG
rnacentral:lncRNA from 1 species